GAUGAACGCUGGCGGCGUGCCUAAUACAUGCAAGUCGAGCGAACAGACGAGGAGCUUGCUCCUCUGACGUUAGCGGCGGACGGGUGAGUAACACGUGGAUAACCUACCUAUAAGACUGGGAUAACUUCGGGAAACCGGAGCUAAUACCGGAUAAUAUAUUGAACCGCAUGGUUCAAUAGUGAAAGACGGUUUUGCUGUCACUUAUAGAUGGUUCUGCGCCGCAUUAGCUAGUUGGUAAGGUAACGGCUUACCAAGGCAACGAUGCGUAGACGACCGGGGAGGGUGAUCGGCCGCACUAGAACUGGGACACGGACCAGACUCCUACGGGAGGCAGCAGUAGGGAAUCGUACGCAAUGGGCGAAAGCCUGACGGAGCGACGCCGCGUGAGUGAUGAAGGUCUUCGGAUCGUAAAACUCUGUUAUUAGGGAAGAACAAAUGUGUAAGUAACUAUGCACGUCUUGACGGUACCUAAUCAGAAAGCCACGGCUAACUACGUG
rnacentral:rRNA from 1 species